GCAUGCCUUACACAUGCAAGUCGAGCGGCAGCGCGGGGGCAACCCUGGCGGCGAGCGGCGAACGGGUGAGUAAAGCAUCGGAACGUAUCCAUUAAUGGGGGAUAGGCCGGCGAAAGCCGGGUUAAUACCGCAUACGCCCUGAGGGGGAAAGUGGGGGAUUCGCAAGGACCUCACGUUAUUGGAGCGGCCGAUGUCGGAUUAGCUAGUUGGUGAGGUAAAGGCUUACCAAGGCGACGAUCCGUAGCUGGUUUGAGAGAACGACCAGCCACACUGGGACUGAGACACGGCCCAGACUCCUACGGGAGGCAGCAGUGGGGAAUUUUGGACAAUGGGGGCAACCCUGAUCCAGCCAUGCCGCGUGAGUGAAGAAGGCCUUCGGGUUGUAAAGCUCUUUCGGCGGGGACAAAACAGCCACUCCUAAUAAGGGUGGUUAAUGAUGGUACCCGAAGAAGAAGCACCGGCUAACUACGUGCCAGCAGCCGCGGUAAUACGUAGGGUGCGAGCGUUAAUCGGAAUUACUGGGCGUAAAGCGUGCGCAGGUGGUUUCGUAAGUC
rnacentral:rRNA from 1 species